UAUGUUCAACUAGAAAAGUGUAAUGCAGAGGUAUACAUGCAUUGAUAAUACAUGCAUUGAUUUUGGGUUUAGAGGUGAUACGCUUUCUAGGAAGCUGCGUAUAUAAAAAAGAGAAGAAAUCACUUGAAGAUGCGUUUUCUUAGAAGCUGCGCAUUGAUUUCAAUGAUAAUAAGGGUUUGAAAUAAUAUAAGAUACUAUGCGGGCAUCUUACAUGUAUUUCGGGUUGCGGCGGCACGGCUUACGGGAAACUAAAUGGAAUAUACUCCUACAGAGGUAUGGCUAACGUGCAUCUGGAGUGGAUCGAGAUAGACUUUGAGAAAAACCUCGCGAUCUAUAUAAGAAAAAUAUAUUCUAUUGCGGGGGCUUAGCUGGCUGGUCCCGCGAAUAUAUAUGUGAAGCUAGUGUGAAGCACCAGGGUAAAAAAAAGUUAUUAUAAAAAAGGAAUGAAUUUAAGUUGCAUUAAAAAGUUACGAUCUUAACCGCCUGGGGCAGCGUACGUUAAGAAAGGGGUGACAGUAUACGAAAAGACUAAGGGAAAAACCUAGCACACGUAUCGUGCAUCUAAUACUCAACGAGAGAGUAUUAGAAGAAAUUUCCAACAGCCGAGGUGGCGUUCAUUGGAAAGAGAGAGAGAAAAGAUUCAGCAGCCGAGGUGGCGUACAUUGUAAUAAUCAAAUGCAUAUACUCCAGCCGAGGUGGCGUUCCGAAUGAUAUACAGUAUACUCACUGAACUGCUUACUUGUAGUGGGCCUCUCUGCGAUCCCCUUUCCUCCUGGCUGGUUGGCUCUCCGUAGUACAGCUUGGCUCUCUGCACAGGUGCUUGGCUCUUCACACACGUUCGUCUCAGCAGCGGUACAUUCUCACUUAUACCACUAUAGUUCCGUUCGUAUGGGCUGCGAUAGUUCUCAUCACAGCUCGCGUAUUUAUAUUAUUUGUACACGAAGUCAUAUUCGAGAGAGGUCAAUAAUAUAUCAAUUAUUGACAUCUUUUAUUUAAUUUUGGAAUUAAUAUUUAAAUACAGAGCAAUAAUUCAGUCAACAAUUUAUAUUUUACAUCCAAUCACCAUCAUCAUUCUGCAAUGGACUACUAACAUGAAUCUAUUGAAAGUGAUCGUAUUCCUUUCAUUGAUCAACAACAAUAACAAGAGUUUGUUCCAAUCCAUUUUAAUGAUGAAGAAAUUAUUAACAUCAGCAGUGAUGAUGAUGAUGAUCAUGAUGAGGAGGAGGAGGAGGAUGCACAAUCUCAACAACAUUUUUUUUCAUCUCGAUUAAUCUUUUCCGAUUCCAACCAAACAUAUCUAUCUAACAUUAAUGAAAGCAAUAAUUCAUUCAACAAUUUCGUUUUUACAUCCAAUCAUCAUCAUCAUCCUGCAAUGGACUACUCACAUGAAUCUAUUGAAAGUGAUCGUAUUCCUUUCAUUGAUCAACAACAAUAACAAGAGUUUGUUCCAAUCCAUUUUAAUGAUGAAGAAAUUAUUAAUAUCAGCAGUAAUGAUGAUGAUCAUGAGCAGGAGGAGGAGGAUGCAUAGCGUGGAGAAAAUGUUUUUUUCAUCUUUAAUUAUCAUUCUUUUUUCAAACGUAAAAUUCGUACAUUUAUUAUUUGAAAUUAUUUCAAUUUUUAUUUAGC